rnacentral:rRNA from 1 species
AACGCGAAGAACCUUACCUACUCUUGACAUCCAGAGAAUUCGCUAGAGAUAGCUUAGUGCCUUCGGGAACUCUGAGACAGGUGCUGCAUGGCUGUCGUCAGCUCGUGUUGUGAAAUGUUGGGUUAAGUCCCGCAACGAGCGCAACCCUUAUCCUUUGUUGCCAGCACGUGAUGGUGGGAACUCAAAGGAGACUGCCGGUGAUAAACCGGAGGAAGGUGGGGAUGACGUCAAGUCAUCAUGGCCCUUACGAGUAGGGCUACACACGUGCUACAAUGGCAUAUACAAAGAGAAGCGAACUCGCGAGAGCAAGCGGACCUCAUAAAGUAUGUCGUAGUCCGGAUUGGAGUCUGCAACUCGACUCCAUGAAGUCGGAAUCGCUAGUAAUCGUAGAUCAGAAUGCUACGGUGAAUACGUUCCCGGGCCUUGUA